UACGUAGGGUGCGAGCGUUAAUCGGAAUUACUGGGCGUAAAGCGUGCGUAGGCGGUUCGUUAAGUCAGCUGUGAAAGCCCCGGGCUCAACCUGGGAAUUGCGGUUGAAACUGGCGAACUAGAAUCUGGCAGAGGGGGGUGGAAUUCCACGUGUAGCAGUGAAAUGCGUAGAGAUGUGGAGGAACACCGAUGGCGAAGGCAGCCCCCUGGGCUGAGAUUGACGCUCAGGCACGAAAGCGUGGGGAGCAAACAGG
rnacentral:rRNA from 1 species